AUGCACAUAGAAAAGAAUGUGUUUGAUAAUUUAAUUGGAACGUUGUUGAAUAUUGAUUCUAAAACAAAGGAUGGCCUAAAUGCACGGCUUGACUUGGCAGAAAUUGGUGAAAAUGGAAUUCGACAUGAUCUUCAUCCUGUUGAAGAUAAUAAUGGAAAAACAGUAUUGCCUGAUGCACCAUUUACUAUGUCUAGAAAACAGCAAGAAGUACUUUGUUCAGUGAUGCAUAAUAUUAGGACUUCCGAUGGAUAUGCAUCAAAUUUUUCUAGGCAUGUCAACAUGAAAGAUUGUACAAUCUCAGGUCUCAAAAGCCAUGAUUGUCAUGUUAUUCUGGAAGAUAUUCUUCCUCUAGCACUUCGAUCCUGUUACCCGCACAAAGAGGUCAUGACAGUAGUUAUCGGGCUGUCUAAUUUCUUCAAGAAGCUAUGCUCGAAAGUGUUAGAUGUCUCUGAGCUUGACAAACUUCAAGAGAGUAUUGUGAUGACACUUUGCAAUAUGGAGAGAAUUUUUCUUCCAUCAUUCUUUACUAUCAUGGUGCAUUUAAUGGUGCACUUGGUUGAAGAAGUUAAACUUGGUGGUCCAGUGCACUAUCGAUGGAUGUACCCUCUGGAGAGAUCAUUUGUCCGGCUGAAAGCACUUGUGCGCAAUAGAGCAUUUCCUGAAGGUUCAAUUGCUGAAGGGUAUCUUGCCCAAGAAUGCUUGACCUUUUGUUCAAGAUUUCUAGAAGGAACUACACGUUUUACAAGACCAUCAAGAAACCCUGCUCCGUCAGAAAAGAUAAAAGAUUUGUACAUGUUCAAUAGUGCUGGUGAACCAAUUGGAAAGGCUAUCCCGGUUGGGCAGUUUAAUAGCCGUCUUGUAAUUCAAGCACAUCGAUAUGUCUUACGACAUUGUGAUGAACUUGCAGAUUUCCGCAAAGAAUUUGUGGCCGAAGAGAAUAGCAAACGAUGUGAGUCAGCUAAAUUGACAGAAGCUGAUAGCACUAAGUUAAUUAAUGGACACUUUGCUGACUGGUUGGAACAAAAGGUUUUACAAAGUGAUGGGCCAAAUAUAACAGAAACGGUAAGAGCUUUGGCUGCAAAGCCAAAGAGAUAUGGGGUGCGCACAGUGGCUAUGUCAUCAACGGCUUCAGGUUUCACACGAUGA
rnacentral:rRNA from 1 species